rnacentral:rRNA from 1 species
CGGGACGGGGUGGAGUAAUGUCUGGGAAACUGCCUGAUGGAGGGGGGUAACUACUGGAAACGGUAGCUAAUACCGCAUAACGUCGCAAGACCAAAGAGGGGGACCUUAGGGCCUCUUGCCAUCGGAUGUGCCCAGAUGGGAUUAGCUAGUAGGUGGGGUAACGGCUCACCUAGGCGACGAUCCCUAGCUGGUCUGAGAGGAUGACCAGCCACACUGGAACUGAGACACGGUCCAG